ACAUGCAAGUCGAGGGGCAGCGGGUGUAGCAAUACAUGCCGGCGACCGGCGCAAGGGUGCGUAACGCGUGAGCAAUCUGCCCGUAUCAGGGGGAUAAGCGAUGGAAACGUCGUCUAAUACCGCAUAACACCAAUGAUGGCAUCAUCGAUGGUUGAAAGCUUCGGUGGAUACGGAUGAGCUCGCGAGACAUUAGUUAGUUGGCGGGGUAACGGCCCACCAAGACCGCGAUGUCUAGGGGAACUGAGAGGUUGGUCCCCCACACUGGAACUGAGACACGGUCCAGACUCCUACGGGAGGCAGCAGUGAGGAAUAUUGGACAAUGGCCGGAAGGCUGAUCCAGCCAUGCCGCGUGAAGGAAUAAGGUCCUAUGGAUUGUAAACUUCUUUUGUACGAGAGCAAUAAGUGUCACGAGUGACACGAUGAGAGUAUCGUACGAAUAAGCAUCGGCUAACUCCGUGCCAGCAGCCGCGGUAAUACGGAAGGUCCGGGCGUUAUCCGGAUUUAUUGGGUUUAAAGGGAGCGCAGGCCGGAGGUCAAGCGUGACGUGAAAUGUAGCCGCUCAACGGCUGAACUGCGUCGCGAACUGGCUUUCUUGAGUGAGUUCGAUGUGGGCGGAAUUCGUGGUGUAGCGGUGAAAUGCUUAGAUAUCACGAAGAACUCCGAUUGCGAAGGCAGCCCACAAGGCCUUUACUGACGCUAAAGCUCGAAGGUGCGGGUAUCGAACAGGAUUAGAUACCCUGGUAGUCCGCACGGUAAACGAUGGAUGCCCGCUGUUUGCGAUAUACUGUGAGCGGCCAAGAGAAAUCGUUAAGCAUCCCACCUGGGGAGUACGCCGGCAACGGUGAAACUCAAAGGAAUUGACGGGGGCCCGCACAAGCGGAGGAACAUGUGGUUUAAUUCGAUGAUACGCGAGGAACCUUACCCGGGCUUGAACUGCAGGAGAAGGAUACAGAGAUGUUGACGCCCUUCGGGGCUCCUGUGGAGGUGCUGCAUGGUUGUCGUCAGCUCGUGCCGUGAGGUGUCGGCUUAAGUGCCAUAACGAGCGCAACCCUUUUCUUCAGUUGCCAUCAGGUGAUGCUGGGCACUCUGGAGACACUGCCACCGUAAGGUGUGAGGAAGGUGGGGAUGACGUCAAAUCAGCACGGCCCUUACGUCCGGGGCUACACACGUGUUACAAUGGGUGGUACAGAGAGUCGGUCGUCUGCAAAUGCGAUCCAAUCCUUAAAGCCAUCCUCAGUUCGGAUUGGGGUCUGCAACCCGACCCCAUGAAGCUGGAUUCGCUAGUAAUCGCGCAUCAGCCAUGGCGCGGUGAAUACGUUCCCGGGCCUUGUACUCACCGCCCGUCAAG
rnacentral:rRNA from 1 species